rnacentral:lncRNA from 1 species
AUCUUUAAAAUGUUUAAUUGUGUGUAUGGUAAUAUAGAUUAGAUUAGGUAGUUCUACGAUUAUUUUGAUUUUUAAAAUUUUAAUUAAAUAAAUAAAAAUUCAAAUACCAACAACCAAUCAAAUUAAGAGAAUUAAUUUUAAACUUCAGAUAUGAAUGACACCUAAGUAAAAAUCACUUAAGUGAUUUCUCCGUACAGGAUUCAGCUAUAUGGGUGCUAUUGGACCCUGCAGAUCAUCCUUAAUAUGAUUUAAAGUUCAUUCGAGUAAAACAGUGUUACAAGAAUACAUCCCCUAGAUAUUAUUUGUGAAAUGAUUUCACAAAUGUCAUCUCUACAAUCAUUUUCACCAAAAAAAUAUGACAUGACAUAUUAAAAUUGAUGAUAUGGUUUAUGGUUAAAAGUGACAUGGACAACUACAUUUAAUGUUAAAUUCAAUUUUCGGUAACUU